rnacentral:rRNA from 1 species
CGGCGGACGGGUGAGUAACACGUGGAUAACCUACCUAUAAGACUGGGAUAACUCCGGGAAACCGGAGCUAAUACCGGAUAAUAUAUUGAACCGCAUGGUUCAAUAGUGAAAGACGGUUUUGCUGUCACUUAUAGAUGGAUCCGCGCCGCAUUAGCUAGUUGGUAAGGUAACGGCUUACCAAGGCAACGAUGCGUAGCCGACCUGAGAGGGUGAUCGGCCACACUGGAACUGAGACACGGUCCAGACUCCUACGGGAGGCAGCAGUA